ensembl:lncRNA
CUGAUUCUCUUGUGAUUGGCUUUCUGGAAACGCAGCUGUGGCUGGUUGUUAUGCUGGGUAUAUUUGGAUGAUGCCCUUAGAAAUAGUGUCCGUUAAUGCCAUCUCUUUAAUGUACGUCAGCAAAGUCAUGUUAAGACAGGAAAGAAGUCAAGCUCCAAAUUAUCAUGGUAAACAAGCAUUACUGGUAUUAUUUACUCUUCUGUUAAACUCAUCUAACCUUUAAGGUGUUUUCUAGUGGAAAAGCAAACAUGUUUACUGAUAAUAUCAAAAUCUGUGAUGAGAAUAAUGGCAGCUUUGUGGCUUUUAAAUGUAAUCAUUUUUUUUUCUUUUUUUCAGGUUAGUAAAAAACAGAAAUGUUGUUUUGUUCACUAAUUGACCACGCUUGUAACUGAAAUGGUGGCUCAAUUAUCUGAUGUGUGAUUUUUUUUUUUGGCACUGCUUCUAUACACAGAGGACUCUUUUUCUUUUCAGCACGCGAAUUCUAUAACACAGCCCAUGUCACUUAAAGACCUGCAAGCAUCAUUAAUAAUGCCAUGACCCCUAGACGAUGGUGAAAACAAAUGAAACUGUGUUUCAGAGCAGCUGUGGAUCAGAGCUAUACAACUCCACUGAGGGCGGUAACUCAGCUAAAUGAGUGGGCUAUCAAAUAAUUACAAUCAUUGCCUCCUUUCUACUAGAUUAAAAAAAAAAAAAAGCAGUCAGGGUCUGAAACCUAUACUAAAUUUGUGGCCCCUCCAACAAGGACCUCCCUUAUCUCCUGACAUGCCCCCAGUUUCGGUCCAACCCCGCAUCCCCUAUAAUAACCUCUCAAAGCAGACAGGGAACCCCCUAAAUAGCCCUUAGACAACCACGGGUGGGCAGACAUCCACCCACCGGGCUGCUGCUGUUCCAUACGCUGUUAUUAUAUAUGUACGUACAUACAGCCCCACAGCCAAGAGCAAACCCAGUCAAAUUAUUAUGAUUGGGUUAAUGAGUAACAUUCACUAAUCCACUGGCUACUGUUGGCUCCUUCAUAUACUAAACCACUGCUUCAGGCCUCUGCUGUCUCCCACCUGAACUGUCAGCUAACAAAUUCUUUAAAAAUCUAUAAAAUAUCUCAUCUCCUCUUUGUGACUUGACCCAUCACUAAGGCAACGUAGAGGCACUCCUCUCACACAGGGUCACAGGUCACAAAAAAUGAACACUAAGAAAUGACAGUAAGUACUUUAUUCAGAGUCCCAAAUGGAUUAGAU